rnacentral:rRNA from 1 species
GACGAACGCUGGCGGCGUGCUUAACACAUGCAAGUCGUACGGUAAGGCCCUUUCGGGGGUACACGAGUGGCGAACGGGUGAGUAACACGUGAGUAACCUGCCCACAACUUUGGGAUAACGCUAGGAAACUGGUGCUAAUACUGGAUAUGUGCUCCUGCUGCAUGGUGGGGGGUGGAAGGCUCCGGCGGUUGUGGGUGGACUCGCGGCCUAUCAGCUUGUUGGUGGGGUAGUGGCCUACCAAGGCGGCGACGGGUAGCCGGCCUGAGAGGGUGACCGGCCACAUUGGGACUGAGAUACGGCCCAGACUCCUACGGGAGGCAGCAGUGGGGAAUAUUGCACAAUGGGCGCGAGCCUGAUGCAGCAACGCCGCGUGCGGGAUGACGGCCUUCGGGUUGUAAACCGCUUUCAGCAGGGACGAAGCUUUUUGUGACGGUACCUGCAGAAGAAGCACCGGCUAACUACGUG